rnacentral:rRNA from 1 species
GACGAACGCUGGCGGCGUGCUUAACACAUGCAAGUCGAACGGAAAGGCCCUGCUUUUGUGGGGUGCUCGAGUGGCGAACGGGUGAGUAACACGUGAGUAACCUGCCCUUGACUUUGGGAUAACUUCAGGAAACUGGGGCUAAUACCGGAUAGGAGCUCCUGCUGCAUGGUGGGGGUUGGAAAGUUUCGGCGGUUGGGGAUGGACUCGCGGCUUAUCAGCUUGUUGGUGGGGUAGUGGCUUACCAAGGCUUUGACGGGUAGCCGGCCUGAGAGGGUGACCGGCCACAUGGGGACUGAGAUACGGCCCAGACGCCUACGGGAGGCAGCAGGGGGGAAUAUUGCACAAUGGGCGGAAGCCUGAUGCAGCAACGCCGCGGGCGGGAUGACGGCCUUCGGGUUGUAAACCGCUUUCGCCUGUGACGAAGCGGGAGUGACGGUAAUGGGUAAAGAAGCACCGGCUAACUACGUG